CAGGGGAAGCGACAGGUGACGAAGCUUAUGGAAAAAAAGACCAAAGGCCUCGAGGGAUGUUCUUCUUGACCCCCCGGGGCAAACGGAGGUGUCAGCGUCAGGAGCCAUCCUAACUGAGGCCCCGGUAGGCUGCCUCUUUCCCUUCGGUCGACGUGGACACUGUGCCGGACGCCUCUGGCAGGACUAACCCCGUGGCUUUUAUGUCCAACGUGCUGUGCUGUGUGUGCCUGCAGUAUCCUGUCCAAGACCAAGCUACCUUUCCUCGUGGGAAGGGACCGGCCGGGCUUUGGCAAUCUGGCCCCUCGAAAGACUAAAGUGACCUCUUCCAACAGGGGAAGACUGAAGCAAGCGGUGCCAGAAAGAACUGGAGUUUCUGGAGAAUAAAAGCUGGAAGCGUGCCCCCGAAAAUCCCCAGCCCCGGGUGGUCAGUGGUCUGACUUGCACGGACCGGUGGCCUUGGCCAGGAGCGGUCCUGCGGGAAGCGCCUUUGCCCAGCCUGUAAUUUUAAUUUCCAUUGGAUGCUUGGCAAAGCCCCCCUGGGUGAGCCCCAGUGCCUGGCAUGAGCGGAGCGGGCUUCCAGGGAGGCAUUCACCCGGUCAGCGUCAGGAACCAUCCUAACUGAGGCCUCGGUGAGUGACGAAGCUUAUGGAAAAAAAGACCAAAGGCCUCGAGGGAUGUUCUUCUUGACCCCCCGGGGCAAACGGAGGUGUCAGCGUCAGGAGCCAUCCUAACUGAGGCCCCGGUAGGCUGCCUCUUUCCCUUCGGUCGACGUGGACACUGUGCCGGACGCCUCUGGCAGGACUAACCCCGUGGCUUUUAUGUCCAACGUGCUGUGCUGUGUGUGCCUGCAGGACCUGGGUGAAAAGGACAUUCUCUGAGGUGCUGGGAGAAGGAGGACUCGUGCGGGCACCUCCAGAGACAGCGGGAACGGGAGCGUGCUGCGGAGAAGGAAAAUUCCAGGGGAAUUGCCACGAGAGGAAAUACCUCAGAGGGGCUUCCCUCCAGAUAAGCCCUGAAUAUGCCAGGAGGUUUCAGCCGGGAGAAAGGAGCUGUGGAAGAAAAGCAGCCUAAAAGUAGCCAGCGGGGAUCAUCAGGUUUUCCAGGCAAGAAGAACAAGGAGAGAGAUGAGGGAAUGGGGUUCCAAUUCCUAAUGAUUUGGUGGGUGCAGGAAUGAUUUGUGUGUGUUUUCCAGUCCCUUUUGAUUCCUGAGAUGAUUUUAAAAUGAUGGCUUUAGCAAUCAACUAAAUCGGAGAUGUUGUUUUUGAGAGGAAAUGGUGCCAAAUAAAUGCAGAGUUUUGGGUCA